GACGAACGCUGGCGGCGUGCUUAACACAUGCAAGUCGAACGGAAAGGCCCUGCUUUUGUGGGGUGCUCGAGUGGCGAACGGGUGAGUAACACGUGAGUAACCUGCCCUUGACUUUGGGAUAACUUCAGGAAACUGGGGCUAAUACCGGAUAGGAGCUCCUGCUGCAUGGUGGGGGUUGGAAAGUUUCGGCGGUUGGGGAUGGACUCGCGGCUUAUCAGCUUGUUGGUGGGGUAGUGGCUUACCAAGGCUUUGACGGGUAGCCGGCCUGAGAGGGUGACCGGCCACAUUGGGACUGAGAUACGGCCCAGACUCCUACGGGAGGCAGCAGUGGGGAAUAUUGCACAAUGGGCGGAAGCCUGAUGCAGCAACGCCGCGUGCGGGAUGACGGCCUUCGGGUUGUAAACCGCUUUCGCCUGUGACGAAGCGUGAGUGACGGUAAUGGGUAAAGAAGCACCGGCUAACUACGUGCCAGCAGCCGCGGUGAUACGUAGGGUGCGAGCGUUGUCCGGAUUUAUUGGGCGUAAAGGGCUCGUAGGUGGUUGAUCGCGUCGGAAGUGUAAUCUUGGGGCUUAACCCUGAGCGUGCUUUCGAUACGGGUUGACUUGAGGAAGGUAGGGGAGAAUGGAAUCCCUGGUGGAGCGGUGGAAUGCGCAGAUAUCAGGAGGAACACCAGUGGCGAAGGCGGUUCUCUGGGCCUUUCCUGACGCUGAGGAGCGAAAGCGUGGGGAGCGAACAGGCUUAGAUACCCUGGUAGUCCACGCUGUAAACGGUGGGUACUAGGUGUGGGGUCCAUUCCACGGGUUCCGUGCCGUAGCUAACGCUUUAAGUACCCCGCCUGGGGAGUACGGCCGCAAGGCUAAAACUCAAAGGAAUUGACGGGGCCCCGCACAAGCGGCGGAGCAUGCGGAUUAAUUCGAUGCAACGCGUAGAACCUUACCUGGGUUUGACAUGGAUCGGGAGUGCUCAGAGAUGGGUGUGCCUCUUUUGGGGUCGGUUCACAGGUGGUGCAUGGCUGUCGUCAGCUCGUGUCGUGAGAUGUUGGGUUAAGUCCCGCAACGAGCGCAACCCUUGUUCACUGUUGCCAGCACGUUAUGGUGGGGACUCAGUGGAGACCGCCGGGGUCAACUCGGAGGAAGGUGGGGAUGACGUCAAGUCAUCAUGCCCCUUAUGUCCAGGGCUUCACGCAUGCUACAAUGGCUGGUACAGAGAGUGGCGAGCCUGUGAGGGUGAGCGAAUCUCGGAAAGCCGGUCUCAGUUCGGAUUGGGGUCUGCAACUCGACCUCAUGAAGUCGGAGUCGUUAGUAAUCGCAGAUCAGCAACGCUGCGGUGAAUACGUUCCCGGGGCU
rnacentral:rRNA from 1 species